UUUUUUUUUUUUUUUUUUUUUUUUUUUUUUUUUUNGGGCCGCCCCUGUGGCAUGUGGAAUUUCCUAGGCUAGGGGUCCAAUCAGAGCUUCAGCUGCCAGCCUACGCCACAGGCACAGCAAGGCCAGAUCCAAGUUGUGUCUGUGACCUACACCACAGCUCACAGCCAUGCCUUAUCCUUAACCCACUGAGUGGGGCCAGGGAUCGAACCCGCAUCCUCAUGGAUACUAGUCAGGUUUGUAACCCGCUGAGUCGAUGGGUUACUCCUCAAGAGCCAGUUUAUAUAUGAUUUUUGGCUAGGAAAUAUAUGCAGUCAAGCAUACGAUGUGGUUAAAGAUGACUGCUAAUCACAAAAACAGAUAUAGAUAUAAAUAUAAAUAUAAACAGGUAAUGGUUUUGGUCCUUUUCUGUGUAUGGGAAGAUGCAAGAAUCUGGGUUUGCUAAAAUUCUUCCUGAGAUAUUUAUCUAACUAUCCAAGAAGAAGCCAGCUCCUCUGGAAACCCUGGACCUCCUCUUCUAUGAUUCUAUCUUGCUUUGUUUCCUUUAAACUUUCCUGUUGUCAGAUAUUCCUGCCAGGAAUUGAAGCCAUGCCUCUAAUCACAUGUACAUCAUUAAAACCUAUAUGAAAUAAAUGAUAAUAGUUUAAAGUUACAGACAAAAAAGCAGAGGAUAAAAACAUAGGCUCUGGGGAGUUCCCAUUGUGGCUCAGUGGUGGUGAACCGGACUAGUAUCCGGAUGCAGGUUUGAUCCCUGGUCUUGCUCAGUGGGUUAAAGGAUCCAGCAUUGCUGUGAGCUGUGGUGUAGGUCGCAGAUGUGGCUUGGGUCCUGUGUUGCUGUGGCUGUGGCAUAGGUGAGUAGCUGUAGCUCUGAUUUGAUCCCUAGCCUAGGAACUUCCACAUGCAGCAGGUGUGGCCCUAAAAAGCCAAAAAGAAGAAAAAAAAAAAAAGCUUAGGCUCUGGAAUCAGAAGGCAUUGUUUUCAAAUUCAGGCCUCAACUUAGGUGUCUUGAGAAAAACACCGAUGAUAACAAAGGCACCAGCCUAUCAUGUGGUGGGUGUUUACUCUGUGCUAAGCAUUGUAGCUAAGAACUUUUCACAUGGUGUCUCAUUUAUCACUGGAAAUUCAAGGGGUUCCAAUAAAUACCCACAUUGUUAGAUGAGGAAUCUGAGGCUUUUUGGAUUCACUACUUAUAAAAUGUAUGACUUUGGGCAAGUUACUUAACAUCUCUCUAAAAGCCUCAUCUACAAAUGGUAAAAUAUCAAUUUUUUGUAGCUAUUGACAUAAUUGAGUUGAUGCAUAUAAAGGGCUUGGACUAUAGCAAGCUGAGUAAGUGUGAUCUGCUAAUAAUAUUAUUACCCUCUGCUCUCCCAUAUGAAUGAAUAUGAAUUCGGCUUAUAUGAUAUGAAGAAACCAAAAAAUUACCUGGUCAAUUAGUUCCGAGAGAAAUUGAAUUGUGACUGACCCAAGUCUUUGUUUUCGUGAUAGCUGACAACAGCCACUUCAAUUUGAGUUAUGAAAGCAGAAUUCAAAAUAUAAACAUGUGAGACUGUCAGGCUGAAGAUUAGCAAAUAAUCUGGGGUCACUUUAAAAAUACCACUAAUGUCCCUGGAUCACCUAGAGAUUAUUAGGCAAAUAGAUGUCCCUCCCCAGCUGCUUCCUCACACUAUCUCCAUAUCUACCACCUGUUUGAGGAAAUUCCAGGUGCCUCAGUCCUCAGCCCUUUUCGUAGCCUUUUUUUUUUUUUUUUUUUUUUUUGCGUUUUCAGGGCUGCACCUGUGGCACAUGGAAAUUCCCAGACUAGGGGUUGAAUUGGAGCUACAGCCGCUGGCCUACACCACAACUCAUGGCAAUGCUGGAUCCUUAAACCACUGAGUGAGGCCAGGGAUCAAACCCACAUCCUCAUGAAUCCUAGUUGGGUUCGUUAACCACUGAGCCAUGAAGGGAACUCCCUGUAGCCUGUCCUAUGUUACAGCAACUCAAGGUCACCGUCCCCAUUGAGCACCACACAAAUGCUGCUUCUCUUGCUUAGUGAAGCUUUAGUUUAUCACCCUGGGCAUCUAUGGUCUCACAACUCCAGAGGGAAGAGUCAACGCCGUCACUAUUCAUUUCCAUUUAUCAUGACACCGCAAAGAGAUGUCCUUCACAAUGACACCAUCUCCUUCUAAUGCUUUAUACAGUGUAUUCUUUUCUCUCAUUAAUGACUUGACUGAUGAUGAUAAAAGACGCCUUGAAAUUCAGCUUGCCUGUCUGUGGUCCUACUUUCUGGUCAUUCCAAUCAUGUCCAGAUGUUUCCCUGCCCUCUCCACCUCCAGACACUCACAAGGGAAAUUGAAAGCAUUCCUUAUGUUACUUGUUGUGGAUGGUGUGCUAUUUACAGAAAAGACGAUGCAUUCCAUGUUUUCAUGUGAUUUCUGGUUCCGUGUUCCUAAAUUUAAUCAUUAAAAAAAUCAAGGGGUUCCCAUUGUGCUUCAGUGUUAAAAAAUCCAACUAGUAACCAUGAGGACGCUGGUUCGAUCUCUGGCCUCACUCAGUGAGUGAAGGAUCUAGCAUUGCCGUGAGCUGUGGUGUAGUUCACAGACACAGCUCAGAUCUGGUGUUGCUGUGGCUGUGGUGUAUGUCGGCAGCAUAGCUCUGAUUCAACCCCUUGUCUAGGAACAUCCAUAUGCUGUGGAUGCGGCCCUAAAAAAAAAAAAAAAAAAAAAAAAAAAAAAAAAAAAAUCAAAUAGUACUGGCCAACACAUAUGUCAAAAGUGGCUUUCCCUGAUCAAUAAAUGGCAAAAAUAAGCUCAAGUUCUCUGACCUUUCUAGCGAUAUACACAUAAAAUAUUUUCUUUAAUAAUUAAAGAGAAAACUUAAAAACUCCUCUUCUAACUGUGAUAAGGAGAGGCUGAAUUUACCUUUUUGUUUGAAACAACCAAAAAAAUAAAAAAUAAAUUAAACAUACAAAACUUUGGUUUCCAAGAUAGUGGACCCCCAGCAACAAAAGUCAGUAAUCUCUGAGAAAUGGGAAACAAAUGAGGCAAAGUCAGGUUUGCCCCAGCUCACUACUUGAGAGUUUCUGGCUGUGUCUCAGGGAGCGGGAACCCAACCAAAAUCUUUGAGUAGAGAAUGGGAAGCCCGAAUUUUAGCAAGACCAGAUUUGGCAGGACAGAGUACCAGAGAGGAGAAAGAUGCACAGAGAGAGAACUUCAGAGAUUUGCAGAAGGUCCCCUAGAGUUUUUAGAUGGGUAUCAGCACACACAUUUGAGACCAGGGGAUUAACUACCAACAAGUAUUAGAAGGAAAAUUUACCAGAGUUCAUACAGGGCCGUGAAAAAUGCCCAUUCUCAUUAGCACAACUGAAAAAAACUCAUUAUUUAUAGGAGACUGAGUACAGUAUUUAGAAAGUUCUUGACUGAGUAAUGGGGAAUAAUUAGCCAUAUCAUUAAUGGCUACUCUAGUCUAGUCCCACCUAACAAAUCUUAAGAGCAAGAUCUGAAAGGAUUAAACUGAAUCAGAGUAACUUGUGUCCCCAAACGAAGCUAAGGAUAUUUAUAGAACACAAAGAUGACCAUUACCCAACAAAGUAAAAUCUACAAUACCUGGCCUUAAAUUAAAAAUUACUGUGGAUGCAAGGAAACAGGAUAAUAUAUGAGGAUGCGGGUUUGAUCCCUGGCCUCACUCAGUGGGUUAAGGAUCCGAUGUUGCCAUGAGCUGUGGUGUAGGUCAAAGACACAACUUGGAUCUGGCGUUGCUGUGGCUGUGGCAUAGGCCGGUGGCAGCAACUCCGAUUAGAUCCCUAGCCUGAGAACCUGCGUACACCGAGGGUGCAGCCCUGAAAAUAAAAAAAAAUAAAUAAAUAAAUAAAAAGGAAAAGGAAAAGAAAAAUUAAUUAAAAGCAAUCCAGAAUUUGCACAGAUAUUAGAAUUAGCAAAUGUAUGUUUUAAAUUAUUAUAACUAUUUUCCUUACAUUCCAAAAAGUUCAGACAUGAAAAGACAUGUAGAACACAUAUCAAAUUUCUAGAUGCGAAAUCUGCAAUGUAUGGGAUUAAAAAUACACAGGAUAAAAUUAGCAGCAGAUAAUUGUGGAAGAAAAAAAACUGGUGAACCUGAAGACACAACAGUAGAUCCAAAGUGAAACACACAGAGAAAAAAAUAAAUAAAAAGAUACUCAAGAUGGAUUUCAGUGAGAAGGUGACUUUUAAGCAAAAAAUUUGAAGGAGGCAGGGACGUAGGCAAAAGAUAUCCAGCGUAAGACGAUCCCAGGCAUUACUGGAAAGGAUGGGUCCAGAUGGUGAUUACAAAGUAUUUAACAGAGUAUUUAGCAUUUAAUAAGCACUCAAGAAAUUAGAGUUAUCACUGCUGCUGUUGUUGUUGUCCAUGUCAAACACUGAGAGACUGGGAUGGAAGAGGAGGAAGGAAACCCAAGUGCAGGGAACUUCCUUUUGCCAGACACUCAUCUGGGCAUUUCCAUAAAUAUUAUCUCACAUAAUAUUCAAAAUUACCCUGUACUAUGGAUAACCCUAUUUUAGAAAGAAGAAGACAGAGACUUUGGGGAGUUGGGAUACUUAUGCAACAUCAUCAAAAGACUAAGAUAGAGAGGUAAUUUGACCUCAGGGUUCUUGGACUUCAAAUCUUAAACACUUUCUGUUCAUUCACCACAUGUGGAAUUUGGGGGAUUGGGGAAUUUAAAUGUUCCAAGCUCUCACACAUCUCUGUUUUGCCCAGGAGUUGCAAACUUAAAUGGAGCUACCAUGAUAAAGUGAAGCAAGGAAGGAGAAAAGGCGGGUCGGUAACCAGUAUUCAGACCUGAGUUAAUAUUGACAUGAUGGAAGAUAGGCCACUGUUGCUUGGGCUCCUUUAUAAAUUUUCCUAAGAGAAGUCAGAAAUCGAUGACAUUUUCUCAUUUUUAAAUUUUGCAUAAAAUUUCCUUAUUUUAAAACUGUAUAUAUGGGUCAUCAUCCUCAAUAAAAGUUUGGAACCACCAAAACAACACAGGACAAUCUUUUAAAAAAUUAUCAUGAGGAGUUCCCGUCGUGGCGCAGUGGUUAACGAAUCCGACUAGGAACCAUGAGGUUGCGGGUUUGGUCCCUGCCCUUGCUCAGUGGGUUAACGAUCCGGCGUUGCCGUGAGUUGUGGUGUA
rnacentral:lncRNA from 1 species